GUGGGGAAUAUUGGACAAUGGGCGCAAGCCUGAUCCAGCAAUGCCGCGUGGGUGAAGAAGGCCUUCGGGUUGUAAAGCCCUUUUGUACGGGAAGAAAUCGUUCGGGUUAAUACCCUGGGUGGAUGACGGUACCGUAAGAAUAAGCACCGGCUAACUUCGUGCCAGCAGCCGCGGUAAUACGAAGGGUGCAAGCGUUAAUCGGAAUUACUGGGCGUAAAGCGUGCGUAGGUGGUUGUUCAAGUCUGUCGUGAAAGCCCUGGGCUCAACCUGGGAAUGGCGAUGGAAACUGGGCGACUAGAGUGCGGUAGAGGAUGGCGGAAUUCCCGGUGUAGCGGUGAAAUGCGUAGAGAUCGGGAGGAACAUCCGUGGCGAAGGCGGCCAUCUGGACCAGCACUGACACUGAGGCACGAAAGCGUGGGGAGCAAACAGGAUUAGAAACCCCAGUAGUCC
rnacentral:rRNA from 1 species